rnacentral:rRNA from 1 species
GAUGAACGCUGGCGGCGUGCUUAACACAUGCAAGUCGAACGAUGAAGCCCAGCUUGCUGGGUGGAUUAGUGGCGAACGGGUGAGUAACACGUGAGUAACCUGCCCUUUACUCUGGGAUAAGCCUGGGAAACUGGGUCUAAUACUGGAUAUGACUUCUCAUCGCAUGGUGGGGGGUGGAAAGAUUUAUUGGUCUUGGAUGGACUCGCGGCCUAUCAGCUUGUUGGUGAGGUAAUGGCUCACCAAGGCGACGACGGGUAGCCGGCCUGAGAGGGUGACCGGCCACACUGGGCCUGCGACACGGCCCAGACUCCUACGGGAGGCAGCAGUGGGGAAUAUUGCCCAAUGGGCGCAAGCCUGAUGCAGCGACGCCGCGUGAGGGAUGACGGCCUUCGGGUUGUAAACCUCUUUCAGUAGGGACGAAGCGAGAGUGACGGUACCUGCAGAAGAAGCGCCGGCUAACUACGUG